rnacentral:rRNA from 1 species
CCCUUAGAUGUUCUGGGCCGCACGCGUGCUACACUGAGUAAUUCAAUGGGUAAGGGAACGCUAGAGCAUUACCUAAUCUUGAAAUUUGCUCGUGAUGGGGAUCGACGGUUGCAAUUUUCCGUCGUGAACGAGGAAUACCUUGUAGGCGCAUGUCAUCAUCAUGCGCCGAAUACGUCCCUGCCCUUUGUACACACCGCCCGUCGCUCCUACCGAUUGAGUGAUCCGGUGAGGCUCUGGGACCUGGACGGAAAGAGCGUUUCGCUGUUUCUGCUCGGAAAACUCAGUCGAACCUUAUCAUUUAGAGGAAGGAGAAGUCGUAACA